GGCGAGUGGCGAACGGGUGAGUAAAGUAUCGGAACGUACCUUCAGGUGGGGAUAACUGUCCGAAAGGACAGCUAAUACCGCAUAUUCUGUGAGCAGGAAAGCGAGGGGAUCGCAAGACCUUGCGCUGAUUGAGCGGCCGAUAUCAGAUUAGCUAGUUGGUGAGGUAAAGGCUCACCAAGGCGACGAUCUGUAGCGGGUCUGAGAGGAUGAUCCGCCACACUGGAACUGAGACACGGUCCAGACUCCUACGGGAGGCAGCAGGUGGGGUAAUUUUGGACAAUGGGGGCAACCCUGAUCCAGCCAUGCCGCGUGAGUGAAGAAGGCCUUCGGGUUGUAAAGCUCUUUCGGCCGGGAAGAAAUCGCACAGGAUAAUACCCUGUGUGGAUGACGGUACCGGAAUAAGAAGCACCGGCUAACUACGUG
rnacentral:rRNA from 1 species